rnacentral:rRNA from 1 species
AGUGAACGCUGGCGAUAGGCCUAACACAUGCAAGUCGAACGGCAGCACAGUAAGAGCUUGCUCUUACGGGUGGCGAGUGGCGGACGGGUGAGGAAUACAUCGGAAUCUACUUUUUCGUGGGGGAUAACGUAGGGAAACUUACGCUAAUACCGCAUACGACCUACGGGUGAAAGCAGGGGAUCUUCGGACCUUUCGCGAUUGAAUGAGCCGAUGUCGGAUUAGCAAGUUGGCGGGGUAAAGGCCCACCAAGGCGACGAUCCGUAGCUGGUCUGAGAGGAUGAUCAGCCACACUGGAACUGAGACACGGUCCAGACUCCUACGGGAGGCAGCAGUGGGGAAUAUUGGACAAUGGGCGCAAGCCUGAUCCAGCCAUACCGCGUGGGUGAAGAAGGCCUUCGGGUUGUAAAGCCCUUUUGUUGGGAAAGAAAAGCAGCAGGUUAAUACCCCGCUGUUCUGACGGUACCCAAAGAAUAAGCACCGGCUAACUUCGUG